GACGUAGGGCGCGAGCGUUGUCCGGAUUUAUUGGGCGUAAAGAGCUCGUAGGCGGCUUGUCGCGUCGAAUGUGAAAACCUGCAGCUUAACUGCAGGCUUGCAUUCGAUACGGGCAGGCUCGAGUUCGGUAGGGGAGACUGGAAUUCCUGGUGUAGCGGUGAAAUGCGCAGAUAUCAGGAGGAACACCGGUGGCGAAGGCGGGUCUCUGGGCCGAUGACUGACGCUGAGGAGCGAAAGCGUGGGGAGCGAACAGG
rnacentral:rRNA from 1 species